rnacentral:rRNA from 1 species
UACAGAGGUCCCAAGCGUUGUUCGGAUUCAUUGGGCGUAAAGGGUGCGUAGGCGGCGCGGUAAGUCGGGUGUGAAAUCUCGGAGCUUAACUCCGAAACUGCAUUCGAUACUGCCGUGCUUGAGGACUGGAGAGGAGACUGGAAUUUACGGUGUAAGCGGUGAAAUGCGUAGAUAUCGUAAGGAAGACCAGUGGCGAAGGCGGGUCUCUGGACAGUUCCUGACGCUGAGGCACGAAGGUCAGGGGAGCAAACGGG